ACGAACGCUGGCGGCGUGCUUAACACAUGCAAGUCGAACGGAAAGGCCCUGCUUUUGUGGGGUGCUCGAGUGGCGAACGGGUGAGUAACACGUGAGUAACCUGCCCUUGACUUUGGGAUAACUUCAGGAAACUGGGGCUAAUACCGGAUAGGAGCUCCUGCUGCAUGGUGGGGGUUGGAAAGUUUCGGCGGUUGGGGAUGGACUCGCGGCUUAUCAGCUUGUUGGUGGGGUAGUGGCUUACCAAGGCUUUGACGGGUAGCCGGCCUGAGAGGGUGACCGGCCCCAUGGGGCCUGGGGAGCGGCCCGGACCCCCUCGGGGGGAAGGGGGGGGGGUUUUUCCGAGAGGCGCGGAGGCCUGGAGCAAGACCCCCGGGGCGGGAAAGGCGGCUUUGGGGUUGGAAACCGUUUUCGCCUGUAGAGGAGCGUGGGUGCGGGAAAUGGGUAAAGAGCCACCGCUAACCUCCUU
rnacentral:rRNA from 1 species